UACGUAGGGGGCAAGCGUUGUUCGGAAUUACUGGGCGUAAAGGGCGCGUAGGCGGCAUGGCAAGUCAGGAGUGAAAGGCCUGGGCUCAACCGAGGAACUGCUUUUGAUACUGCCAAGCUAGAGUGCGGAAGGGGCAACUGGAAUUCCCAGUGUAGCGGUGAAAUGCGUAGAUAUUGGGAAGAACACCUGAGGCGAAGGCGGGUUGCUGGGCCGACACUGACGCUCAUGCACGAAAGCGUGGGGAGCAAACAGG
rnacentral:rRNA from 1 species